GCGCGGCGCGGCUCCUUUGCCGGCGCACGUGUGCCUCCGGAGGCUUUCUGAGGCCAGGCUGACUGUGCGGCGGCGGCGAGCCCCCCCCCAGCCUCAUCGGGAGACAGAGAGGCAGCGGCGGCGAGGUGGCGCAUAGCGAGGCUUGGUGGCUGGCACCAAGGCCUACGGGGUGAGGCUUCUGGCCUUGGGAGGCCCUGCGGCGGCAGCGGCUGUGCAGUCACUACGAGGCAGCAGCGCAGGAUCGGAGCCAGCAGCGCAAAUCCAAGCCUGCCUCGUGGGAAUCCUUUUGUUGCAAGAAUGUGGUUAUAGCCCAGUUGCGGCUGCUUUUAGAACUUCAUUUCACAGAUGAGUCAAACAGCCGGCAUACCCAGAAUGUGAAUGGAAAGCAAUUCCAUGCCUGCACUGUCAACUUAUGCCUCAGACUCGAAGCUCUUCUUCUGGCUGUAGUAUGUGGACCCCAGCCUCAGCCAACCUGCUGAGCUGAAGAAGAAGAAGAAGAAGAAGGAAGAAGAAGAAGAAGAAGAAGAAGAAGCAGCAGCAGCAGCAGCAGCAGCAAUGUAGUAAUGCUUGUUGGAAGUCCUGACUCCGUCUUCAGCCAAUCGGUAUGCCUUCUUAUCUCAGGGAAUUCCUGAUCAAUUCCAGCAGCCGACAGCUCAACGAAGUCCUGUGGAAAAUCUGAUCGGUUCACCUAUACCUUGGAGAACAUUUAAGCCAGUCAAAGUUUCCUCUUGGCUGGCUUUUAAGCUGAAAAAAGCUUCCUCUGAGGCAGAGAUCUCUCAGAGACAAUCACCAGCUGAGCACUCACUUCCGGGAAGUCAGGACUAUAAGUUUUGUAAUGUUUUGUUUUGAAACGAGCUUAUGGGAAGCAGCAGAAUGGCAUGGGAGGUAUUUUCAAUUUAACACUGCGGAAUGUGAAAAAUCCAUGCUGGCCAUAGUAUACAGCCACUCUCAUGACUAUAUAAUUAAAUUAAAAAAUAAGACAAAAACAUUGGGGGGGGGAAGGAAAGGAAACCACAGGGCUAAAAUGAGUUAAUUGACAAACUAUAAAUUAAAAAUUACAAUCAGGUGCAGAUAGAACAUAAUUCUGUAUACAUAAUCAAAGGUUUUUUCCUUAUUCAUUUAGAACAUUACAGGUGUGUUAAAUUACUUUAAGAAUUAAUUUCAUGUAUUCAGGAAAUCAGACUUUACCGACUUGACUAGAUGACCUCAUUUCUUUUUUCCUUUCCCCCUUUCCCCAGUUACCAAUCAUCUUUGCCAUAUUUCUACAUAAACCGGGGGUAUUAAAUACCUGUAUGUGUUGUCAUUUGCACAGGACAUAAAGUCCUGUUAUAUUGUUAUAAACCAAUCUUGUGCAAACUUUUGUUUAAGGGCUUGACACUUAAAUAGAAAUACAGGCCCAGUGGCUGCAGGCACAGUUGCCACCAUCUUUAUUGCCCCCAGGGCCUCUGGACCCAAUGUUAUGCCUAAAGGUGCUCUGGGGAAAUUUACGAUGGUGGCAGCUGCUGCAGCCACUGUCAGGGCUUCUCUUUUGCACUGCCCAUCCCCACUGCUGUCUGCCUAUGAAUCUAGAAAAAAAUGACAUAGCAGAGGUUAUUAUAGCAGCCCUCCAACUCCUAAUUCUUUUCUAGGUGAAAACUUUCCCCCAUUUUUAUGCAUCUCACAUAAGCCUGUAAGGUGAAGGAAUUAAAAAAAAGCAAACCACACAAUAGGGAGGGUUCACAGUAACAAGCUCUUGAUGGGAAUGACAGCCCUAUUUGUGUUAAAUAGUACAUAAUUAAAAGUCAAUACACCCAGAUCAUAAUAAGAUCUGUGUACCUAGUCAACCUCUCCCUCCGAAUACCUGUGAGGGAACCUCAUUUAAAACUCAGCUGUAUCUAAUUUGCAAAGAAAGCAAAACAAAACAAAAACCUGGAACAUAAAGUUUCACUUUUAUAUCAGAGCUGUAGAUUAACUUCUCUAGGCAAAGUUCAAUUUAAGGUUAUCUAGCUCGCUUGGUAAGCUUGGGAGCGCUAUGCCAAGGAGAUAAAUGGUCGUUUACUUCCACAGGUUGUCUGUAGUAUACUGUGCAGAAAUGAGCUUAGCUCCUUUGAGAAUAUCUGUCAUAUCAAACAGAAAAGAAUACCUUAUUAGGCUGUGCCCAUUUCAUAAUGAGCAGAAGCUGCGACUCUCUGGAGAGGAGAGCUUUUUGCUUACAAGUUCUGAGAACACUUUUAAAGAAAGUAAGGUGUAACUUUUCAGGAAGCUAAUGCAAUCAAUUGUUCAUUGUGCUUGCACUGAUGCAAAGCACACUUCAUAAAAUCAUCUGGUUAACUCUAAAUUAGGAUGGUUGUGUGUCCUGCCUUACAGAGUAUGGUCCUUUAUUUUGAAGAUGCCCUUUAUUUGAGGGCUGUCUGUCAGGGCCCUUCCUGUCACGAUCCCACUUCAGGCGCCAUGUGCUAGGAUCCCGCCUGUGGUCACCGCCUUGUCAUGGUCCCACCUCAGGGUCCUGCUUUCAAAACAGUUCUCUCACCAGCUCUAGCAAAGAUCUCACAAGAUCCCACUGCUAGGCAGCAGCACCAGACACUCCCAGUAAUUCAAUAUUGCCUUUAGACUGUGCCUUAGUCUCCUCCUGGCUUAUUGCUACUUUGUGUCUGGGUGCACUUGCAGGCCACAACCCCACUGUAUCUUUGUGCCUAUAAAGAAUACAGCCCUGGGUUGCUCUGGAUACUUGAUGAUGUUACACUAUCUCUUCACCGCUGCCACCAUUGAUACUGUUUCCCAACCUUGGUAUAUGCCCUGCCCACCCUUCUGGUCUGUGUAAACCCAGCCAAGGAUCAGGUGUUUUGGUAAACCAAGAAAUAUUUAUUUAUAUACACAGGGAAUAACAAGAUUGCUUAAAGGUUUAGUCAACAAGCGUGUGGUUUCAUAAGUUGUGUUACUCUUUAUAUUUCUAGUCAUCAGUACCCCGCCUCACUACCCACCUAAUCCAAUCCACCCUCCAACCCUCAGAACCAACCGAACCAACCGAACCGAACCUCUCCACUGUCAUCCUCUCAUUUAUACCUUCAGGCACUCAAGUGCUCAGCCAAUCAUAAUACAACACUCAUCAACAUUCCAACCCAUGUACUCCCACCUCUCACUCAGUCUACUUACCACAUAUACUCUAAUAAACCCGCACUUACCAUAUUUACAGUAUUAUAUAUAUACAGGGACAUCACACUGUCCAGUCUAAGACUGGUUUAAAGAUAGGGAAUCAUAGAGAGCAGGAGCCUUGAAGUUGCCCAUCAACAUUAAGUAGCCCCUGAUCAGCACACUGAGUAAGCACACACG